rnacentral:rRNA from 1 species
GGCCAGACUCCUACGGGAGGCAGCAGUGGGGAAUAUUGCACAAUGGGGGAAACCCUGAUGCAGCGACGCCGCGUGAGUGAAGAAGUAUUUCGGUAUGUAAAGCUCUAUCAGCAGGGAAGAAAAUGACGGUACCUGACUAAGAAGCCCCGGCUAACUACGUGCCAGCAGCCGCGGUAAUACGUAGGGGGCAAGCGUUAUCCGGAUUUACUGGGUGUAAAGGGGGCGCAGACGGCGAUGCAAGCCAGGAGUGAAAGCCCGGGGCCCAACCCCGGGACUGCUCUUGGAACUGCGUGGCUGGAGUGCAGGAGGGGCAGGCGGAAUUCCUGGUGUAGCGGUGAAAUGCGUAGAUAUCAGGAGGAACACCGGUGGCGAAGGCGGCCUGCUGGACUGCAACUGACGUUGAGGCCCGAAAGCGUGGGGAGCAAACAGGAUUAGAUACCCUCGUAU